AGUUGCCCUGAUGUCAGAUUUUUGUCUGAAUGAAGCUAUGGGUGUUGGCAAACCAACAAAGCGAAAUGGAGAAACAGUGUUUAAACCGGUCAAAACACUAUGAUUCAUGUGUGAGACUUGGGACAUUUCAUAAUGCAAAACUCCUUCAGAAGUAUUUACAACUAAGAUGGGCAUGAACUGGGGAAAUGGCUGUUUGCAAUGGUUUGUGUUUCAUUGCUAUUCAUCUACUGCGAACCACAAAUGUUCACGAACUUUCUGAAAAAAUGAACUGUUUUGUGGUUCAUGUGAUUUGGGACUUCUGGGAGCAGUAGAACGGCCUCUGUGUGACAAACUCACAACAUGUUGUCAUGAUAAAACUUUAAAUAGUUCGGUGUUUUGUUUUCUUCUGUGCAGGUGUAUUUUCCCGAAGACCCCCCAAAAUGAGCCAUGAAAUGGCCCAAUGCAUCGUUGGUUGGUUUUUGCUUUGCUUUGUGGUUCAUUUCAUGCCCAUCUCUGUUUCCAAGUCAUGAAAACAUAUUUGAAAAUACAGAAAUCUUAAUGAACUAAGCAGUCUAACAAAUUGCCAUUCAAAAAUUAUCUGAACCCAUGCCUUUUAUGAACUCAGAUUCCUCCCAACUCCCGGUCAAAGAAGGAUACAACACAAAGAGAUAAAUAGAAAACCGUUUAUGACUGAACAUCAAGAAAAUGUUAACAUUCCAACAUACUGGAAUUU